rnacentral:tRNA from 3 species
CACUAAGAAGCUAAACUGGGUGUAGCGUCAGCCUUUUAAGCUGAAAACUGGUGACCCCCAACCACCCUUAGUGA